ACGACCUACCGCAAACACCCUGCCGGUGGACUCGACUUCGCGAGUGCAUAAGUUUGAAAAAAGUUUCACCAAGAGUAACCGUAGGGUUUGAUGACGUCGUCGGUGACGUACAAGAUGCACUGGAGUGAUGUCAAAAGUGGAAAUUACUCUGGAUAUUCGCAAUCGGCUCAGUUGCCCGAGAGGUGCGAUCGUGAACACAUCUAAGAUAUAGCCUAUUAUGAAUUUUUUGUUAGUGCGGUACGAAUAUAUUAAUAUUUUUAUGGAAUUAAACAAAAAGUUAAUUUAGUUAAUACGAAUUAUAAUAUAAUGAGAAUUUUAAAUUGUAAAUGAAUAAUAGUUCAUGGCAAUGAAAAGAUUAAUUGAAAGUGUAUUCACCAAAGUGCCCAUAUCUUCUCUGAACGCCUUUGUCUUGAUGCGAAGGCUGUAUAAAUUUGGCAAGGACAAGGCAGUCUGUAUUGGGUAAGGUCAUGGAACAGAGAGUCUGCGGUGGCGGGAGGAGGAGAUGAAGGGGUGGGGGGUGUGGAGGGGGCGAAGGCCAACUACAGAGGUUACUCUCGGUCAUUCGCGCGUGACGUCAUCAGUCACAACCAAACCCGUGACGUCACUGGUCGAUUUCACACAUUUGAAACUACCCCCUGUACCCCACUCCCAUCUAGUGGUUUAUGUACUUUAAAGUAAUUCAAACAUAUUUAAAAAAAUCUAUAGGAAAAGGUUUAAUUGUUUAUAUAAAUUAACAGUUUUUUUGUUCAGUCUAAGAAGUGAAUAAGAACAUUUUUUAAAUGAUAAACAAGAGGGUCAUUAAAAUCCUCAACUGCAGGUUAAAUUCGCUAAAAUGCCAGCACAUGUUGCUGCAACUUGCAUUGGUAGUCAAUUUCUUGAAAAUGUGCAUACAAAUGCUUGAGGUAACUUUUUUCAAAAUCUGUCCUAUGUUGGGAAAAGCCGACAUUUUAAAUCGUGAUUUUAGGGGUUUUUUCCGAUUUUUGCCAACUUUUAUGUCACUCUGCACACCCAACACUGCAAAAUAAAACCAUAAUGUUUUCUUGCAAUUUUUAACGAUCCCUGUGUCUGUUUUUUAGUUUGCUUGGACUACAUAGAAACCAUCUAUUAAUACUAACUUACUGUUAACUACUUAAAAUGUGAUAGAGACUAACUUGAGAAAUGCUGCUUUUCUAGAAGUGCUACGAAAAUAAAAUUUGAACUUGGUCUAGCGCCAACACCCCCGGGAAAAUUAUGAAAAUUCACCAUUUUCUAAUUGUCAUCCCCCGAAUUUUAUAAUCCCCCCCUGUGUGGUUCUUAUGGGGAAUAAGCUCAAAAGUGGCUUACUUUGGUAUGCUGAUCUGAAACACUUAGAAAUGUGUUAGAAACUUGCUUUGCUUAAAUAAGCAAUCUAAUAAGGCACCAUCCACCCAGGGGGGCCUGGGCGAGCCAAUGGCAAGUUUUAUUUAUUAUAAAAGAAGCUUACGUAUUUCAAAGUAAUUACUUUACUACUGUACCACUUUAUGUUUGCCGACAUGGGGUUUAUAUAGAUAUUAAGAAUCAUACAAUAAAUCUGUCAAGUUGUUGA